rnacentral:rRNA from 1 species
UACGUAGGGGGCAAGCGUUAUCCGGAAUUAUUGGGCGUAAAGGGUGCGUAGGCGGCUAAAUAAGUCUGAAGUGAAAGUGCGUGGCUCAACCCCGUGAUGCCUUGGAAACUGUUAAGCUAGAGUGUGGUAGAGGCAAGUGGAACUCCAUGUGUAGCGGUAAAAUGUGUAAAUAUAUGGAAGAACACCAGUGGCGAAGGCGGCUUGCUAGGCCAAGACUGACGCUGAGGCACGAAAGCGUGGGGAGCAAACA